UACGUAGGGGGCAAGCGUUGUCCGGAUUUAUUGGGCGUAAAGAGCGUGUAGGCGGCCAGGUAGGUCUGCUGUGAAAACUCGAGGCUUAACCUCGAGAUGUCGGUGGAAACCAUCUGGCUAGAGUCCGGAAGAGGAGAGUGGAAUUCCUGGUGUAGCGGUGAAAUGCGCAGAUAUCGAGAGGAACACCAGUGGCGAAGGCGAGUCCCUGGACAACUCCUGACACUGAGGCACGAAAGCUAGGGGAGCAAACGGG
rnacentral:rRNA from 1 species